GUUCACAGGUCGGGACAGUAUUUACGUAUCAAAAUGGUUUGGUUUUGAUGAUUUCAGUUUCAUGCAAGACAAGUGUACACCAAAUUAUACAACAGAUACUAUGCAAGACAAUGGGAAUAAAACGUCAAAUGAUACAACGGGCGCUACGCAGGGCUCUACACCACAAAAUGAAGGCGAGUCUUCCCAAAAAACUUCAGAAGAGUGUAAUACACAAGAACAAUUUAAUGAUAUUAUUCAAAAAGCACCAGAAAAAACUGCCAAGAAGACCUCAAAAAAAGAAGACAAGAAGAAGAGGACGAUAAAAUGUUGACAGAGGCGUUCAAAAUUUUAACCGAACCGUCGCAAGCUACUGAUCCAUAUUUCAGUUAUGGCCAGCACAUAGCAAAUGAAUUAAGAAAAUAUGACAGCCAUACUCUAAUAUAUGUCAAACAGGCAAUAAACAA